rnacentral:rRNA from 1 species
UACGUAGGUGGCAAGCGUUAUCCGGAAUUACUGGGUGUAAAGGGUGUGUAGGCGGGACUGCAAGUCAGAUGUGAAAACUAUGAGCCUAACUCAUAGCCUGCAUUUGAAACUACGGUUCUUGAGUGUCGGAGAGGUAAAUGGAAUUCCCAGUGUAGCGGUGAAAUGCGUAGAUAUUGGGAGGAACACCAGUGGCGAAGGCGAUUUACUGGACGACAACUGACGCUGAGACACGAAAGCGUGGGGAGCAAAC